rnacentral:lncRNA from 1 species
UAAUUGGCCCAAUCAGAUGAAAAUUCAAAGUCCAAAUACAGUCCAAUUGCCAGCCCAAACCCAAACCUGAUUACAAAAUACACUAAGACCCAAUCUAAAUCCUUAACCCAAUAAACAGUGGCCCAAUUACAGAGGUCGAAUGCCUAGCCCAAGACCACGAAACAGAAACCCUAGCAGCAAUAGCAGCUUUUGCCUCUGCGCCACAGCCGAACCCAGGCCCCCCGCGCGUGCUACGCCUCCACAUGCGUGCGCCCCUCCGAGCUUGUACCUGCACAACAAAAAUGGUAACAAACAACACAAGCAGGAAAAAAAACAUCAAGAAAAAAAAAUCGCAAAUCAAAGGCUAGCAGAUAACAUAAUAGAUUUCUUUUUAUUAUUUUAUUUUAUUUUAUUUUUUCAUUUCGGCUAUAAAAAGCCAUUAAAAAUCUGUAAAGGGAUACGAAAAAAAGAAAAAAAACAACACUUUGUAUUUACAAGCAGAGAAAUUAAAAAGGGAUUCAAGGUAGAUAUUCGUUGUUUUUAAAAAAAAUAUAGUAAACAAUAAAAAAAGAAGAAGACUUACCUGUGGUUUCGCGACACCCCGCCUUCGGAUCUGCUAGAUGGAGAGCCAAG